AAAACAAGCCAGUCUUUUGGGUAUGAAACCCAUUUGGGCAAGAGUAGUACUAGGAUGGGUGACCUCCUGGGAAGUCCUCGUGAAAGGGUUUC
rnacentral:rRNA from 1 species